rnacentral:rRNA from 1 species
GCGUAAAGCGCGCGUAGGUGGCUUGAUAAGCCGGUUGUGAAAGCCCCGGGCUCAACCUGGGAACGGCAUCCGGAACUGUCAAGCUAGAGUGCAGGAGAGGAAGGUAGAAUUCCCGGUGUAGCGGUGAAAUGCGUAGAGAUCGGGAGGAAUACCAGUGGCGAAGGCGGCCUUCUGGACUGACACUGACACUGAGGUGCGAAAGCGUGGGUAGCAAACAGGAUUAGAUACCCUGGUAGUCCACGCCGUAAACGAUGUCGACCAGCCGUUGGGUGCCUAGCGCACUUUGUGGCGAAGUUAACGCGAUAAGUCGACCGCCUGUGGAGUACGGCCGCAAGGUUAAAACUCAAAUGAAUUGACGGGGGCCCGCACAAGCGGUGGAGCAUGUGGUUUAAUUCGAUGCAACGCGAAGAACCUUACCUACUCUUGACAUCCUGCGAAUUUGGUAGAGAUACCUUAGUGCCUUCGGGAACGCAGAGACAGGUGCUGCAUGGCUGUCGUCAGCUCGUGUUGUGAAAUGUUGGGUUAAGUCCCGUAACGAGCGCAACCCUUGUCCUUAUUUGCCAGCGCGUAAUGGCGGGAACUCUAAGGAGACUGCCGGUGACAAACCGGAGGAAGGUGGGGACGACGUCAAGUCAUCAUGGCCCUUACGAGUAGGGCUACACACGUGCUACAAUGGUCGGUACAAAGGGUUGCCAACUCGCGAGAGUGAGCCAAUCCCGAAAAGCCGAUCUCAGUCCGGAUCGGAGUCUGCAACUCGACUCCGUGAAGUCGGAAUCGCUAGUAAUCGUGGAUCAGAAUGCCACGGUGAAUACGUUCCCGGGCCUUGUACACACCGCCCGUCACACCAUGGGAGUGGACUGCACCAGAAGUGGUUAGCCUAACGCAAG